UACCUAGUUGUGCGUGUGUAAAGGUAGUGCCAAGAAAAGCGAUGAUCAUGUUGAAAAUCAAUUCCCGGUACCCGAAACCGACACAGGUGGGCAAGUAGAGAAUACUAAGGGGCGCGAGGUAACUCUCUCCAAGGAACUCGGCAAAAUGACCCCGUAACUUAGGGAGAAGGGGUGCCACCGAGAGGUGGUCGCAGUGAAGAGGCCCAGGCGACUGUUUAGCAAAAACAUAGGUCUCUGCAAACUCGAAAGAGGAGGUAUAGGGGCUGACGCCUGCCCAGUGCCGGAAGGUUAAAGAAGUUGGUCAGUUUUAGGAUGAAGCUAGCGACUGAAGCCCCGGUGAACGGCGGCCGUAACUAUAACGGUCCUAAGGUAGCGAAAUUCCUUGUCGGGUAAGUUCCGACCCGCACGAAAGGCGUAACGAUCUGGGCGCUGUCUCGGAGAGAGGCUCGGCGAAAUAGGAUUGUCUGUGAAGAUACGGACUACCUGCAUUUGGACAGAAAGACCCUAUGAAGCUUUACUAUAGCUUGGAAUUGUGUUCGGGCUUCCUGUGCGCAGGAUAGGUGGGAGGCGUAGAAGGUAUUCUUGUGGGGAUACUGGAGCCUACGGUGAGAUACCACUCUCAGGAGGCUAGAAUUCUAACUUAAUUAAGGACAGUUUCAGGUGGGUAGUUUGACUGGGGCGGUCGCCUCCAAAAAGGUAACGGAGGCGUACAAAGGUUCCCUCAGACUGGUUGGAAAUCAGUCGAAGAGUGCAAAGGCAGAAGGGAGCUUGACUGCGAGAAGUACAGUUCGAGCAGGGUGGAAACACGGUCUUAGUGAUCCGACGGUGCUGUGUGGAAGGGCCGUCGCUCAACGGAUAAAAGUUACUCUAGGAUAACAGGCUGAUCUCCCCCAAGAGUUCACAUCGACGGGGAGGUUUGGCACCUCGAUGUCGGCUCAUCGCAACCUGGGGCGGAAGUACGUCCCAAGGGUUGGGCUGUUCGCCCAUUAAAGCGGUACGUGAGCUGGGUUCAGAACGUCGUGAGACAGUUCGGUCCAUAUCCGAUGUAGGCGUGAGAAUAUUGAGAGGAGCCUUCCUUAGUACGAGAGGACCGGGAAGGACGCACCGCUGGUGUACCUGUUAUGAUGCCAAUUGUAAACGCAGGGUAGCCAAGUGCGGAGAGGAUAACCGCUGAAAGCAUCUAAGUGGGAAGCCCACCUCAAGAUGAGUAUUCUGGUGUAAGGUCACGGGAAGACGACCCGUAAAUAGGCACGAGGUGGAGGUGCAGAGAUGUAUGAAGCCGAAGUGUACUAAUAGACCGUCGGCUUGAC
rnacentral:rRNA from 1 species